rnacentral:rRNA from 1 species
ACCCGCUGAACUUAAGCAUAUCAAUAAGCGGAGGAAAAGAAACCAACGGGGAUUGCCCUAGUAACGGCGAGUGAAGCGGCAACAGCUCAAAUUUGAAAUCUGGCGUUUUGGACGUCCGAGUUGUACUUUGCAGAGGGAGGCUCGGGUUGAGGGUCGGUCCAAGUGUCUUGGAACAGAAUACCGUAGAGGGUGAGAGUCCCGUCUUCGGCCGACGCUGACGCCCAUGUGAGCGCCCUUCGACGAGUCGAGUUGUUUGGGAAUGCAGCUCUAAAUGGGUGGUAAAUUCCAUCUAAGGCUAAAUACGGGCCAGAGACCGAUAGCGAACAAGUAGAGUGAUCGAAAGAUGAAAAGCACUUUGAAAAGAGAGUCAAACAGUACGUGAAAUUGUUGAAAGGGAAGCGUAUGAGGGCAGACUUGGCCGCAUGGGAUCCGCGCGUCUUCUGGCGGGCGUAGUGCCGUGCGGACAGGCCAGCAUCGGUUUGCGGGGCUGGAGAACGGCGACGGGAAGGUGGCUCCUCUUGUGGGAGUGUUAUAGCCCGGCGCGCAAUGCAGCCUCUGUGGACCGAGGACCGCGCUUUGAGCAAGGAUGCUGGCGUAAUGGCCUUAUACGGCCCGUCUUGAAACACGG